rnacentral:tRNA from 1 species
UCCUGGCUGGCUCAGUGUGUGGAGCAUCUGACUGCAGCUCAGGUCACGAUCUCACGGUUUGUGGGUUCGAGCCCCGCGUCGGGCU